rnacentral:rRNA from 1 species
UUCCGGUUGAUCCUGCCGGACCUGACUGCUAUCGGAUUGAUACUAAGCCAUGCGAGUCUUUGUAGUAAUACAAGGCAUACGGCUCAGUAACGCGUAGUCAACCUACCCUAUGGACAAGAAUAAUCUCGGGAAACUGAGCAUAAUUCUUGAUAGAUCAUAAUGCCUGGAAUGGUUUAUGGUUAAAAUGAUUCGUCGCCAUAGGAUGGGACUGCGGCCUAUCAGCUUGUUGGUGAGGUAAUGGCCCACCAAGGCGAUUACAGGUACGGGCUCUGAGAGGAGAAGCCCGGAGAUGGGUACUGAGACAAGGACCCAGGCCCUAUGGGGCGCAGCAGGCGAGAAAACUUUGCAAUGUGCGAAAGCACGACAAGGUUAGUCCGAGUGAUUUCUGCUAAAGAGAUCUUUUGCUAGUUAUAAAACCACUAGUGAAUAAGGGGUGGGCAAGUUCUGGUGUCAGCCGCCGCGGUAAAACCAGCACCUCAAGUGGUCAGGAUGAUUAUUGGGCCUAAAGCAUCCGUAGCCGGCUCUGUAAGUUUUCGGUUAAAUCUAUGCGCUCAACGUAUGGGCUGCCGAAAAUACUGCAGAGAUAGGGAGUGGGAGAGGUAGACGGUACUCGGU